CAAAGAGUCUGACCUUGGCUCUCUUUAUACCCCAAUCUACUUCAGCUAUCUCCUCUAUAGAAAUGAAUAUCAAAUAUAUGUCUCUAAUCCUGACCUUUCUUGAGUUACAUACAGACCUCCAGCUCUAAUUGCUUAUAGGAUAUAUCAAACCUGGAUGCCCCAUUAACCCCUCAAAUUCACAUAUCCAAAACUAGGUAAUUGUAGUUUUUCUAAACCUGUUUUUCCUUCUAGCUUAACUAUCUCCUGAAAUCUCAUCUUCAUUCUCUACCACACUGAAAAAUGUGAGAUUAUCUUUGACUCUCCCUUACCACUCAAAUCCAGACAAAUUCUGCCUCCAUAAUGCUCUUACAUCCAUCUCCUCUCUUUUCCCACUGAACUCUCUAUCUCUAAAUAGGAAUAAUGUGGGGCAGCAUCUCAUAGAAGAAUGAAAAAGCACUGUACUUAAAGACAGUAAUGACCAGGAUUGCAAUCCCAUCUCAGUCAAGUAUGUUCCAGCAGAUGAGACCAUCCAAGAAGAAAAACACCAAGCUGAAGAGGGCAAGAACAGACAACAGAGGAGUGCCGAAGGACAUGGUAACAGAGAUUUUGCUAUAAUCUAGCAUGGAGAAGAGGAAAGAAGAAUGAAAAAUCAUGAACUGUAAGAUCUCUUGCAUCAUGCUAACAUUUUACAUAUUCAUUUAAGUUGCAUCCAUAAUUACACUGUUAUAACAUCAUUGUUGUAACAAAGGAAGAAGACAGACAGAGGGCGAAGAUGAUUCUGAAGAUCUUGGUAAGUAUAAAAUGCAUGCAACACAAACACAUAGAGUACAUAUAUUACAUAUGCUGAAAUUUUGUGUCCAAGUGAUGGUAUUCAUGUAAAUCAAUGGAUACAGGUAAAUUACUUUGGAAGAAAAUGAUACUAGUUACACAUUAGUUUUCAUAAGGUCUUACUUCACUGGAAUAUUUUAUUUAUGUUCCAAGGAGUUAACAUCAGAAUAUACUACUAUAAUUUUGUAAUGAAAAUCUUUAAGAUUUUUACAUAUUAACAAACGGAGGUCAAAGUUUUCACCCCUAAUUAACA
rnacentral:lncRNA from 1 species